rnacentral:rRNA from 1 species
AGGGUUCGAUUCUGGCUCAGGAUGAACGCUAGCGACAGGCUUAACACAUGCAAGUCGAGGGGCAUCACGGGAGUAGCAAUACAACUGGUGGCGACCGGCGCACGGGUGAGUAACGCGUAUGCAACCUACCUAUCAGGAGGGGAAUAACCCGGCGAAAGUCGGACUAAUACCGCAUAAAACAGGGGCACCGCAUGGUGAUAUUUGUUAAAGAAAUUCGCUGAUAGAUGGGCAUGCGUUCCAUUAGGUAGUUGGUGAGGUAACGGCUCACCAAGCCGACGAUGGAUAGGGGAACUGAGAGGUUGGUCCCCCACACUGGUACUGAGACACGGACCAGACUCCUACGGGAGGCAGCAGUGAGGAAUAUUGGUCAAUGGGCGGGAGCCUGAACCAGCCAAGUCGCGUGAAAGGAAGAAGGAUCUAUGGUUCGUAAACUUCUUUUGCAGGGGAAUAAAGUGCAGGACGUGUCCUGUUUUGUAUGUACCCUGAGAAUAAGGAUCGGCUAACUCCGUGCCAGCCGCAGC